CCCCUAGACGUUCUGGGCUGCACGCGCGCUACAAUAAUACGCACAGCGAGUAUCACCGAGCUCGAAAGGGCAAGGUAAACAAUAGAAAAGGUACUGUAAUGGUUAUAGAUCCUUGUAAUUAUUGAUCUUCAACGAGGAAUUCCUAGUAAGUAUGUGUCAUCAUCACGCACUGAUUACGUCCCUGCCCUUUGUACACACCGCCCGUCGCUCCUACCGAUUGGGUGAGCCGAUGAAACUCUCGGAUGUAGGCUAUUCAUAGCCCGCAGAAGAGAUUUGAAUCGUAGCGCUUAGAGGAAGGAGAAGCCGUAACA
rnacentral:rRNA from 1 species